UAAGUGCUUUUUUCUACGUUUUUUUGUCAGAGGCAUGACGUGUUUUCACCCUAGCCCUACGGCAGAUUAUUUGUUGAUUUGGGCGCCUGAUUUUAACUCCUGAGUCUGUAGCCCAUGAAUUGCCCCUGUUGCUAUAGGGUGGAGACACUGCUAUGACCACUCUCCUCUGCCAGGACGAGUCAGGAAGUGGACAAACGGCCGGGAAGACAAUGCGCCCCUGCCUGUGCUUCUCGCUGCGCCAGCCCUGCCACCUUUCCCCGGAGCCGGCGUUCCCUCACCCGCUCAAGGAUGGUGACCUGCAAUUAUCUCCUUGUUUCUGCAUCAUUUUCCCCUUCCCCGCUGGAUCGUUCUUUCUCUGACUGUUGCCCAUCAUCUCCUUAAUAGCAAAACUUCCUGAAAGAGCUGCCUAUAUUCAGUUUCACUUUUUAUUUAUGUUUUUGGAAACCCGCUCCAAUCAGACUUCUAUCCCCCAAAGAAACCUUUCUUAAUAAGAUUACCAGUUAUCUCCUCAUGGCCAAGCAGAGUGGUCCUUCUCCAUCCGCAGUGGCAUUCGACGAAGGACUCCAGUGAAGUAUAAUUUCCUGCUAAAAGGAAAGACUGUUGGGAGCAAUUCUGGCACUCAGGAGCAUACAGGUAAAAAACUUGACAAGACAACGGCACGUGGUUCUGUUACGUCUGAGAGCUGGUUGCAGCAUGGCUGGCAGGUGAUUCCGGACUGUCCCCCAGGUGGUUCUGGCAUAGCCGGCAGUUGAUUUUGGCCGGUCCGGCAGGUGGUUCUGGCGAGUCGAGCAGGUGGCUCCGGCCUGUUCGGUAGGUGGUUCUGCCUGGCUUCAUGUUUAUGACACUGGCUUCAGAUAUUUUACAAUGGGCUGGAAGACACUCAUGCUCUGAUUCUGAGCAUCUCUUCUGUACCCAGCACUGGAUCAGGGACAACAGGGAGAGGGUGACCAACAAAUGGUCUUGUGCUCAAGGAACUCAUGUGGGACAAUUAACUGUUUAGCAAGUGUGGCCAGUGAGCCGCAUGAUGGGGCUGAGACCUGUGAGUGAGAAGGGCUGGUCUUGAGUGGAUCUCUGCCCUCCCUGGCAGCCCAUUGACCCUCUCUAAGCCCGAUCACGUCUGCUCUUCCUACCAGAUAUAAAGAGGAAGAAGUUGUGAGGAUUAAAGAAAAGACCAUAGGAGGAAGCCCCUGGCCCAGAACAGACAUUCAAUUCCUUUGCACACAUUCCAAAGGUUGUUUUGAUUAUUCUCAACCACCUCCUUUGUUUCCCACAUCCCAGAAAAAGAAUCCUGAUUAGUCUUCUUGAAGCAGAAAUAGCUGAGUAGACGUGACCCUGACUGCCCACCGGGGUCAUGGUCCUGAUGCUCCAGCUCACCCCACAGCCCACAGCAUUGGCUCUUUGGGUCCACCACUUGAUGCAUGAGGCUACCAUGCUUCCUCUCCCUAA